rnacentral:rRNA from 1 species
GAUGAACGCUGGCGGUAUGCUUAACACAUGCAAGUCGAACGGACUCUUCGGAGUUAGUGGCGGACGGGUGAGUAACGCGUGAGAAUCUGGCUUUGGGUUCGGGACAACCACUGGAAACGGUGGCUAAUACCGGAUGUGCCGAGAGGUAAAAGAGAAAUUGCCUGAAGAUGAGCUCGCGUCUGAUUAGCUAGUUGGUGAGGUAAAGGCUCACCAGGGCAGCGAUCAGUAGCUGGUCUGAGAGGAUGACCAGCCACACUGGGACUGAGACACGGCCCAGACUCCUACGGGAGGCAGCAGUGGGGAAUUUUCCGCAAUGGGCGAAAGCCUGACGGAGCAAUACCGCGUGAGGGAAGAAGGCUCUUGGGUUGUAAACCUCUUUUCUUAGGGAAGAACAAAAUGACGGUACCUAAGGAAUCAGCAUCGGCUAACUCCGUG